GGGCCCGCACAAGCAGCGGAGCAUGUGGUUUAAUUCGAAGCAACGCGAAGAACCUUACCAAGGCUUGACAUCUACAGAAUCCUAAAGAGAUUUGGGAGUGCCCUUCGGGGAACUGUAAGACAGGUGGUGCAUGGUUGUCGUCAGCUCGUGUCGUGAGAUGUUGGGUUAAGUCCCGCAACGAGCGCAACCCCUAUUGUUAGUUGCUACCAUUAAGUUGAGCACUCUAGCGAGACUGCCGAGGUUAACUCGGAGGAAGGUGGGGAUGACGUCAAAUCAUCAUGCCCUUUAUGCCUUGGGCAACACACGUGCUACAAUGGCCGGUACAAAAAGUUGCAAGCCCGCGAGGGGGAGCUAAUCUUAAAAACCGGUCCCAGUUCGGAUUGUAGGCUGCAACUCGCCUACAUGAAGCUGGAGUUGCUAGUAAUCGUGAAUCAGAAUGUCACGGUGAAUGCGUUCCCGGGCCUU
rnacentral:rRNA from 1 species